rnacentral:rRNA from 1 species
UACGUAGGGUGCAAGCGUUGUCCGGAAUUAUUGGGCGUAAAGAGCUCGUAGGCGGUUUGUCGCGUCUGCUGUGAAAAUCCGGGGCUCAACCCCGGACUUGCAGUGGGUACGGGCAGACUAGAGUGUGGUAGGGGAGACUGGAAUUCCUGGUGUAGCGGUGAAAUGCGCAGAUAUCAGGAGGAACACCGGUGGCGAAGGCGGGUCUCUGGGCCGAUACUGACGCUGAGGAGCGAAAGCGUGGGGGAGCGAACAGG